CGGUCUAUCCUUGCUUCGGUUGAUA
rnacentral:miRNA from 1 species